rnacentral:rRNA from 1 species
UACGGGGGGGGCAAGCGUUGUUCGGAAUUACUGGGCGUAAAGGGCUCGUAGGCGGCCAACUAAGUCGGAUGUGAAAUCCCCAGGCUCAACUUGGGAACUGCAUCUGAUACUGGAUGGCUUGAAUUCGGGAGAGGGAUGCAGAAUUCCAGGUGUAGCGGUGAAAUGCGUAGAUAUCUGGAGGAAUACCGGUGGCGAAGGCGGCAUCCUGGACCGACAUUGACGCUGAGGAGCGAAAGCUAGGGGAGCAAACGGG